ensembl:snoRNA
CUGGCCCUGAAUCAAGGCCGGCAGCUUCCUGACGCUGUUGGUUUCAAGCAGGAGCCUAAAGAGAUGCCUUUCUAUGGUCUGUUGGCCAUUUCAGAACUUGGGCUUGAAGGAAACAACA